CCCCUAGAUGUUCUGGGCCGCACGCGCGCUACACUGAACAGUUCAACAAGUCUUAACCUUGGCCGAUAGGUCUGGGUAAUCUUUGAACGCUGUUCGUGAUUGGGAUAGACCUUUGCAAUUAUGGGUCUUCAACGAGGAAUUCCUAGUAAACGCAAGUCAUCAGCUUGCAUUGAUUACGUCCCUGCCCUUUGUACACACCGCCCGUCGCACCUACCGAUCGAAUGGUCCGGUGAAAUCUCGGGACGGCGGCUUGGUCGCUUGCGUCCGACUGCUGAAACUUGAUUAAACCAUAUCAUUUAGAGGAAGGUGAAGUCGUAACA
rnacentral:rRNA from 1 species